UAGGGAAUCUUCCACAAUGGACGAAAGUCUGAUGGAGCAACGCCGCGUGAGUGAUGAAGGUUUUCGGAUCGUAAAACUCUGUUGUAAGGGAAGAACACGUACGAGAGGUAAUGCUCGUACCUUGACGGUACCUUACGAGAAAGCCACGGCUAACUACGUGCCAGCAGCCGCGGUAAUACGUAGGUGGCAAGCGUUGUCCGGAAUUAUUGGGCGUAAAGCGCGCGCAGGCGGCCUUUUAAGUCUGAUGUGAAAGCCCCCGGCUCAACCGGGGAGGGCCAUUGGAAACUGGAAGGCUUGAGUACAGAAGAGAAGGGUGGAAUUCCACGUGUAGCGGUGAAAUGCGUAGAGAUGUGGAGGAACACCAGUGGCGAAGGCGACUCUUUGGUCUGUAACUGACGCUGAGGCGCGAAAGCGUGGGGAGCAAACAGG
rnacentral:rRNA from 1 species